rnacentral:rRNA from 1 species
CAGCAGCCACGGUAAUACGAAGGGGGCUAGCGUUGCUCGGAAUGACUGGGCGUAAAGGGCGCGUAGGCGGCGAUCAAAGUCAGGCGUGAAAUUCCUGGGCUCAACCUGGGGGCUGCGUUUGAUACUUGAUUGCUAGAGUGGGGAAGAGGGUCGUGGAAUUCCCAGUGUAGAGGUGAAAUUCGUAGAUAUUGGGAAGAACACCGGUGGCGAAGGCGGCGACCUGGUCCUUGACUGACGCUGAGGCGCGAAAGCGUGGGGAGCAAACAGGAUUAGAUACCCGGGUAGUCCCUGUCUCUUAUAC